rnacentral:rRNA from 1 species
AUGUGCGUAUCAGAAAACCAAGGAGGAAUGAGAUUCCAUGAUAUCCACUGCUUCAAUGUAGCUUUGCUCGCCAAACAGGCAUGUCAUCUCAUUGAUAAUCAUGAUUCCUUGUGUGCUACUAUUCUGAGGGCCAAGUACUAUCCUGAUGGCGAUUCGAUGAAGUCCAAGCCAAAGCAUGACGCUUCCUUCACCUGGCAAAGCAUUAUGGCAGGCAUAACUACUCUGAAAUGUGGCUAUAUUUGGCGAGUGGGGAAUGCACAUAACAUCCAUAUUUGGGAAGAUGCUUGGAUCCCAAGCUGUGCCACUAGGAAGAUUGUGACCCCUAGGGGGGGACAAUUGUUAUCAAAAGUGGGUGACCUGAUUGACCCUUCCUCCAAUAAUUGGGAUGAGGACCUGAUUAGACAAACUAUGUCCCCCAUUGACGCACAACAGAUUCUUUCAAUCACACUUUCGCAACAUGAUAUGACAGAUUUCGUUGCCUGGAGUUAUAUAAAAAAUGGUAUGUUCUCGGUACGGUCUGCUUACUCUGUGGAGUGGAAUUAUCAGUAUGGGAGUAAACUAAAAUAUUCUAAUGGGAUGGGGCGAAUCACACCUAAUCCUAUAUGGUGUCAAAUAUGGAAGUUAUCUUGUCCGACAAAAGUAAAAAAAUCUAUAUGGCGUACAUUACAUGGCACUCUCCCAUGUCGGGUAACACUCGCUAACAAACAAAUGAAGGUCUCGCCUUCUUUCCCUAAUUGCUCUCAAGGUUUAGAAGAUACGAAACACAUGAUUUCCCCUUGUAGGAAAUCAAAGUAGGUUUGGAAGAAACUUGGGAUGGAUGAGAUUAUUCAUAAAGCUUGUGAGGUUUAUCAUGCUGGGGAGGCGAUAUUAGAAUACCUUCUACUUCUUCCAGACGAUGAUUUGAGUAUUAUGGGGUACAAAAAUAUACGAGAAAUGAUAGCUAUUUUGUGA